rnacentral:rRNA from 1 species
UACGGGAGGCAGCAGUGGGGAAUAUUGCACAAUGGGUGCAAGCCUGAUGCAGCCAUGCCGCGUGUAUGAAGAAGGCCUUCGGGUUGUAAAGUACUUUUCAGUCGUGAGGAAGGUGUUAAGGUUAAUAACCUUAGCAAUUGACGUUAGCGACAGAAGAAGCACCGGCUAACUCCGUGCCAGCAGCCGCGGUAAUACGGAGGGUGCGAGCGUUAAUCGGAAUUACUGGGCGUAAAGGGCACGCAGGCGGUUAAUUAAGUUGGAUGUGAAAUCCCCGGGCUUAACCUGGGAAUGGCAUUCAAGACUGGUUAGCUAGAGUCUUGUAGAGGGGGAUAGAAUUCCAUGUGUAGCGGUGAAAUGCGUAGAGAUGUGGAGGAAUACCGGUGGCGAAGGCGGCCCCUGGGACAAAGACUGACGCUCAUGUGCGAAAGCGUGGGGAGCAAACAGGAUUAGGAUACC